rnacentral:rRNA from 1 species
GACCGAGGUCCCGAGCGUUAGGCGGAAUCACUGGGCUUAAAGCGUGUGUAGGCGGCGGCCUAAGUACCUUGUGAAAUCCCACGGCUCACCCGUGGAACUGCUCGGUAUACUGGGUCGCUUGAGCCACUUAGGGGCUACCGGAACAAAUGGUGGAGCGGUGAAAUGCGUAGAUAUCAUGUGGAACGCCAAUGGUGAAAACAGGUAGCUGGGAGUGUGCUGACGCUGAGACACGAAAGCCAGGGGAGCAAACGGG